rnacentral:rRNA from 1 species
UGGGGAAUAUUGGACAAUGGGGGGAACCCUGAUCCAGCCAUGCCGCGUGUGUGAAGAAGGCCUUUUGGUUGUAAAGCACUUUAAGCGAGGAGGAGAGCACUCUUGUUAAUAGCAAGAAGUGUUGGACGUUACUCGCAGAAUAAGCACCGGCUAACUCUGUGCCAGCAGCCGCGGUAAUACAGAGGGUGCGAGCGUUAAUCGGAUUUACUGGGCGUAAAGCGUGCGUAGGCGGCUAAUUAAGUCGGAUGUGAAAUCCCCGAGCUCAACUUGGGAAUUGCAUUCGAUACUGGUUAGCUAGAGUAUGGGAGAGGAUGGUAGAAUUCCAGGUGUAGCGGUGAAAUGCGUAGAGAUCUGGAGGAAUACCGAUGGCGAAGGCAGCCAUCUGGCCUAAUACUGACGCUGAGGUACGAAAGCAUGGGGAGCAAACAGG